UACGGGGGUGGCAAGCGUUAUCCGGAAUUAUUGGGCGUAAAGCGUCCGCAGGCGGUCUUGUAAGUCUGUUGUUAAAGCGUGGAGCUUAACUCCAUUUCAGCAAUGGAAACUGUAAGACUAGAGUGUGGUAGGGGCAGAGGGAAUCCCCGGUGUAGCGGUGAAAUGCGUAGAUAUCGGGAAGAACACCAGUGGCGAAGGCGCUCUGCUGGGCCAUAACUGACGCUCAUGGACGAAAGCCAGGGGAGCGAAAGGGAUUAGAUACCCCUGUAGUCCUGGCCGUAAACGAUGAACACUAGGUGUCGGGGGAAUCGACCCCCUCGGUGUCGUAGCCAACGCGUUAAGUGUUCCGCCUGGGGAGUACGCACGCAAGUGUGAAACUCAAAGGAAUUGACGGGGGCCCGCACAAGCGGUGGAGUAUGUGGUUUAAUUCGAUGCAACGCGAAGAACCUUACCAGGGUUUGACAUCCUGCGAAUCUUUUGGAAACAGAAGAGUGCCUUCGGGAACGCAGUGACAGGUGGUGCAUGGCUGUCGUCAGCUCGUGUCGUGAGAUGUUGGGUUAAGUCCCGCAACGAGCGCAACCCACGUCGUUAGUUGCCAGCAUUUAGUUGGGCACUCUAGCGAGACCGCCGGUGAUAGACCGGAGGAAGGUGUGGAUGACGUCAAGUCAUCAUGCCCCUUACAUCCUGGGCUACACACGUACUACAAUGCUACGGACAAAGGGCAGCAAACUCGCGAGAGCUAGCAAAUCCCAUAAACCGUGGCUCAGUUCAGAUCGUAGGCUGCAACUCGCCUACGUGAAGGAGGAAUCGCUAGUAAUCGCAGGUCAGCAUACUGCGGUGAAUACGUUCCCGGGCCU
rnacentral:rRNA from 1 species